rnacentral:misc_RNA from 1 species
UCAACACAUAGGAAGGAAGAGAAAACGGAUAGGAUCGAGAGAGAGAGACGCCAGAGCCCCAAUCCUCCCCCCGCCUAUUCCCUUUGCUUAGAGUUUCAUUUCCCAAUUUUUUAUUUGGAAUUUUCGAUUAGGGUUCCGAGGUUUUACAAUUGAAUUCAUGGAGAGAUUGGGUUCGCCGCUGGAUACGGAGUCGUUGGGUUACGUUAGCUGGGAGGAGGUGAACGUCUCGACGAAUAGAGGGAGAAGGGAGGUUCGAUAUUACUUGAAGAGAAUGGACGGAGGAUUAGAUCUGGCCGUCGUAGGAAAAGAGAAGAGCUUGAGGCAUAUGUCUUAUCACUACGCUGUCAGGAAUAGAUCCAUUUUUUCGUCUAUGGGUCCUGCUUUGAAGCUCAAGUCGCGACGAGAGGUUAUUAAUUGGCUCAACUCUAUCGUUUCAGAGUCACUGCCUCUUGAAUCAUCCCACUUAUCAGGUUCUUUGGAUAGUAGUGAUGCUUCUGAGUUGGACAUUGAAAACUUUAAGGCCACACAACAUCAGAAGCAGGGCUACCAUACAAAAGAAUUUUUAUGGUUAGGUUCUCCAUGGACAUGCCGGAAAAGACGAAGGCAUUAUUCGUCAUUUCAACGGAAUGGCUUCAAAAUUUCUGUUCAUGACUUUGUAUAUGUCUUAGCUGAGGAGGAUAAAAGGCUUGUUGCCUACUUGGAAGAUAUGUACGAGGACUCCAAAGGGAACAAGAUGGUUGUGGUACGAUGGUUUCACAAAAUUGAUGAGGUUGGUAUUUCAUUGCCUCUCAAUUUUAAUGACAGAGAGCUUUUCUUUUCUCUUUGUCUUCAAGAUCUCAGUAUUGAAUGCAUAGAUGGAAUGGCUGCGGUCCUCAGUCCCCAGCAUUUUGAGAAGUUUCUUAAUGAGGCAUCACACACUAUGUUGGAUCCAUUUGUUUGCUACAAGAUGUUUGAUAAUGAAGAUGCCAAGCCCUUUGACAUUACUCAAGUCAAAGGAUACUGGAAACAAGAAAUACUUAGGUAUAUGUAUAUGGUUUCCCCUGCAAGGGAUCAGGCAAAUUCUUUGCAAAUUGAUGAUGGCCUGGAAGUGGAAGCAAAUGUUAAUGAUGAUUCUGGGACCAGACCUAGGAAGAGGCAUCGUCAAUCAAAAGAUGAUGAUGUUUAUACUGGCAGUAAAGAAUCAACAAACGCAGUGAGUGUGGAUGUGCAUAACUUGCAUAGCAGUUGGAUUGACCGCAAAAGUGGAAUGGAGAUAUGCAGUCUAACAGGAGGGGAAUCUGCUGCCCUUCCGUCUGGAGCAGAAGCUAAGCAAAGUCCUACUCAGCAUCUAAAAGUUGGUUCUGAAGUUGAAGUGCUUUCUCAAGAUAGUGGGAUUAGAGGUUGUUGGUUUAGAGCAUUGAUAAUUAAGAUUCACAAAGAUAAGAUGAAGGUGAGAUAUCAUGAUAUUAAAGAUGCAGAAAAUGAAGCUAAAAAUUUAGAGGAAUGGAUUUUAGCGACCAAAGUUGCAGUUCCUGAUCAAUUGGGAAUUCGGAUUUGUGGGAGGUUAAUUGUUCGCCCUCCCCAAAUGUUCAACAAGGGUCAAUUAUCAUGGGAUUUAGAUGUUGGGACUGCUGUUGAUGUUUGGUGGCAUGAUGUUUGGCAGGAGGGCAUUGUUGUUCAUAAGGAAUCUGAAGAUAGAUUUUGUGUCUAUUUCCCAGGAGAAAAGCAAAAAUCAGUCUUUAGCCGUGCUGAUGUGAGACUCUCCCAAGAAUGGUUGGGAAAUGGGUGGA